UACGUAGGGCGCAAGCGUUGUCCGGAAUUAUUGGGCGUAAAGAGCUCGUAGGCGGCUUGUCACGUCGAUUGUGAAAGCCCGAGGCUUAACCUCGGGUCUGCAGUCGAUACGGGCUAGCUAGAGUGUGGUAGGGGAGAUCGGAAUUCCUGGUGUAGCGGUGAAAUGCGCAGAUAUCAGGAAGAACACCCGUGGCUAAGGCGGCUCUCUAGUACGGUACUGACGCUGAGACGCGAAAGCGUGGGGAGCGAACAGG
rnacentral:rRNA from 1 species